rnacentral:rRNA from 1 species
AUAUCAAUAAGCGGAGGAAAAGAAACUAACAAGGAUUCCCCUAGUAACGGCGAGUGAAGCGGGAUGAGCUCAAAUUUAAAAUCUGACGGUUAUGCCGUCCGAGUUGUAAUCUGGAGAAGUGUUAUCUGUGCUGGACCGUGUAUAAGUUUCCUGGAACGGAGCGUCAUAGAGGGUGAGAAUCCCGUCUUUGACACGGACUACCAGUGCUCUGUGAUGCACUUUCUAAGAGUCGAGUUGUUUGGGAAUGCAGCUCAAAACGGGUGGUAAAUUCCAUCUAAAGCUAAAUAUUGGCGAGAGACCGAUAGCGAACAAGUACCGUGAGGGAAAGAUGAAAAGCACUUUGGAAAGAGAGUUAAACAGUAC